rnacentral:rRNA from 1 species
UUAAGCGACUAAGCGUACACGGUGGAUGCCCUGGCAGUCAGAGGCGAUGAAGGACGUGCUAAUCUGCGAUAAGCGUCGGUAAGGUGAUAUGAACCGUUAUAACCGGCGAUUUCCGAAUGGGGAAACCCAGUGUGUUUCGACACACUAUCAUUAACUGAAUCCAUAGGUUAAUGAGGCGAACCGGGGGAACUGAAACAUCUAAGUACCCCGAGGAAAAGAAAUCAACCGAGAUUCCCCCAGUAGCGGCGAGCGAACGGGGAGCAGCCCAGAGCCUGAAUCAGUGUGUGUGUUAGUGGAAGCGUCUGGAAAGGCGCGCGAUACAGGGUGACAGCCCCGUACACAAAAAUGCACAUGCUGUGAGCUCGAUGAGUAGGGCGGGACACGUGGUAUCCUGUCUGAAUAUGGGGGGACCAUCCUCCAAGGCUAAAUACUCCUGACUGACCGAUAGUGAACCAGUACCGUGAGGGAAAGGCGAAAAGAACCCCGGCGAGGGGAGUGAAAAAGAACCUGAAACCGUGUACGUACAAGCAGUGGGAGCACGCUUAGGCGUGUGACUGCGUACCUUUUGUAUAAUGGGUCAGCGACUUAUAUUCUGUAGCAAGGUUAACCGAAUAGGGGAGCCGAAGGGAAACCGAGUCUUAACUGGGCGUUAAGUUGCAGGGUAUAGACCCGAAACCCGGUGAUCUAGCCAUGGGCAGGUUGAAGGUUGGGUAACACUAACUGGAGGACCGAACCGACUAAUGUUGAAAAAUUAGCGGAUGACUUGUGGCUGGGGGUGAAAGGCCAAUCAAACCGGGAGAUAGCUGGUUCUCCCCGAAAGCUAUUUAGGUAGCGCCUCGUGAAUUCAUCUCCGGGGGUAGAGCACUGUUUCGGCAAGGGGGUCAUCCCGACUUACCAACCCGAUGCAAACUGCGAAUACCGGAGAAUGUUAUCACGGGAGACACACGGCGGGUGCUAACGUCCGUCGUGAAGAGGGAAACAACCCAGACCGCCAGCUAAGGUCCCAAAGUCAUGGUUAAGUGGGAAACGAUGUGGGAAGGCCCAGACAGCCAGGAUGUUGGCUUAGAAGCAGCCAUCAUUUAAAGAAAGCGUAAUAGCUCACUGGUCGAGUCGGCCUGCGCGGAAGAUGUAACGGGGCUAAACCAUGCACCGAAGCUGCGGCAGCGACACUAUGUGUUGUUGGGUAGGGGAGCGUUCUGUAAGCCUGUGAAGGUGUACUGUGAGGUAUGCUGGAGGUAUCAGAAGUGCGAAUGCUGACAUAAGUAACGAUAAAGCGGGUGAAAAGCCCGCUCGCCGGAAGACCAAGGGUUCCUGUCCAACGUUAAUCGGGGCAGGGUGAGUCGACCCCUAAGGCGAGGCCGAAAGGCGUAGUCGAUGGGAAACAGGUUAAUAUUCCUGUACUUGGUGUUACUGCGAAGGGGGGACGGAGAAGGCUAUGUUGGCCGGGCGACGGUUGUCCCGGUUUAAGCGUGUAGGCUGGUUUUCCAGGCAAAUCCGGAAAAUCAAGGCUGAGGCGUGAUGACGAGGCACUACGGUGCUGAAGCAACAAAUGCCCUGCUUCCAGGAAAAGCCUCUAAGCAUCAGGUAACAUCAAAUCGUACCCCAAACCGACACAGGUGGUCAGGUAGAGAAUACCAAGGCGCUUGAGAGAACUCGGGUGAAGGAACUAGGCAAAAUGGUGCCGUAACUUCGGGAGAAGGCACGCUGAUAUGUAGGUGAAGUCCCUCGCGGAUGGAGCUGAAAUCAGUCGAAGAUACCAGCUGGCUGCAACUGUUUAUUAAAAACACAGCACUGUGCAAACACGAAAGUGGACGUAUACGGUGUGACGCCUGCCCGGUGCCGGAAGGUUAAUUGAUGGGGUUAGCCGCAAGGCGAAGCUCUUGAUCGAAGCCCCGGUAAACGGCGGCCGUAACUAUAACGGUCCUAAGGUAGCGAAAUUCCUUGUCGGGUAAGUUCCGACCUGCACGAAUGGCGUAAUGAUGGCCAGGCUGUCUCCACCCGAGACUCAGUGAAAUUGAACUCGCUGUGAAGAUGCAGUGUACCCGCGGCAAGACGGAAAGACCCCGUGAACCUUUACUAUAGCUUGACACUGAACAUUGAGCCUUGAUGUGUAGGAUAGGUGGGAGGCUUGGAAGUGUGGACGCCAGUCUGCAUGGAGCCGACCUUGAAAUACCACCCUUUAAUGUUUGAUGUUCUAACGUUGACCCGUAAUCCGGGUUGCGGACAGUGUCUGGUGGGUAGUUUGACUGGGGCGGUCUCCUCCUAAAGAGUAACGGAGGAGCACGAAGGUUGGCUAAUCCUGGUCGGACAUCAGGAGGUUAGUGCAAUGGCAUAAGCCAGCUUGACUGCGAGCGUGACGGCGCGAGCAGGUGCGAAAGCAGGUCAUAGUGAUCCGGUGGUUCUGAAUGGAAGGGCCAUCGCUCAACGGAUAAAAGGUACUCCGGGGAUAACAGGCUGAUACCGCCCAAGAGUUCAUAUCGACGGCGGUGUUUGGCACCUCGAUGUCGGCUCAUCACAUCCUGGGGCUGAAGUAGGUCCCAAGGGUAUGGCUGUUCGCCAUUUAAAGUGGUACGCGAGCUGGGUUUAGAACGUCGUGAGACAGUUCGGUCCCUAUCUGCCGUGGGCGCUGGAGAACUGAGGGGGGCUGCUCCUAGUACGAGAGGACCGGAGUGGACGCAUCACUGGUGUUCGGGUUGUCAUGCCAAUGGCACUGCCCGGUAGCUAAAUGCGGAAGAGAUAAGUGCUGAAAGCAUCUAAGCACGAAACUUGCCCCGAGAUGAGUUCUCCCUGACUCCUUGAGAGUCCUGAAGGAACGUUGAAGACGACGACGUUGAUAGGCCGGGUGUGUAAGCGCAGCGAUGCGUUGAGCUAACCGGUACUAAUGAACCGUGAGGCUUAACCUU